UCGUGCUAGGCGGGGAGUUAGCGGUGCCCUGUUACCCGCAAUCCGCUUCAGCGGGGCUGAAUGCCCGCCCGAGACGUAGUGCCGUGGGGACUAUCGCCGAUGAGCGGCGUUGAGAGCCAGGUCCUGCGCGGCGAUGCCCGGCUAAUUCCGUCAGGUCCGGAAGGAAGCAGCGGUACGUCGGUCACAUCGGGUGCCGCAGGGUCGCCGGGCUUGAGCCGUCUCACGGGGGCAAGCUCGCGUCGCUACGACGACGGCGGGGCACGA
rnacentral:SRP_RNA from 1 species